rnacentral:sRNA from 1 species
UCACACCAUACAAAAUGCCAAAUGCAAUGUCUUUGGCAACAUGCCAUGAAUAUAACCGUCAAUAACUCCCUUAGCACAAAGGAUUUGGCAGAAAAGGUAUUUUGAAAAAUGUUGCCUUUUCUUCAACACCAUAUAUUAGGGCGUCUGACAACACAUUCUAUAACGUUUUAGAAAAAUAAAACGAACCCCCAAAUGAAAGUUUCAAAUAUCCACUCGGCAACAACAAACAAAUAGAGGACAAAAUAUUUUUAAUCUGCAAUUCAAACAAAAUCACUUGUCCGCUCCUGAGUGCAUACAGUUAUACACCACCUUUCACAUACAGCGAGAGAUUGAGAGAGAAUUUGGAGAACAGGGAGAGCAUGUUAAAGUAUGGCAGGAGACAGGACAUUGGAUAUCCAUAUCAGUUGAGCCAUAUGUUUGUUCUGCCCAACAGAUGGGAAUGUUUUUUAUGUGCUUUUUUAAUAAUUGCAUUUAUGUAUGUCUAUAUAACUU